GUGGGUGGAUGUACAAAGCUUUGGCAGAAAGGACAGGCUCAGGCUGGCUAAGGGCCUGAUGACUCCAUGGCCCUCGCUGCAUGAAGGGCGUCACAGCUGAUGCAGAAGGACACAUCUACCUUGCUCCACUAAAUCCUGCAGGCUUUAUUCUGGCCAGAGUUCUGCUUGGAUAAGAAAUGAGAGUAGAGGCAGCUGGUUCUGGUGCAAUCCUCUGCUAAUUCUCUGUGUUCUGGAAAAGCAAUAUUCCUCUGUGCUCACCCAGACUGGCACAGGAAGGGACAGUGAAUCCUUGUGCAGUGUCACCUACAGGCUGUUUGUGUACAACCAAGUGUGAAAGUGAAGGGCCCUCGUGAAUAGGAGUUCUCUGGAAUUCGUAAAUGUAUACCCAUAGGAUCAGAGACCACACUGGGGAGCCUUGCAGGAACAAUGACAGAAAGCCAGUCACCACCCCAAAGCCCUUACAGCUAUCUAGAUGAAACUGGGAAUAAA